rnacentral:misc_RNA from 1 species
GAUGAAGAACGUAGUGAAAUGCGAUACGUAAUGUGAAUUGCAGAAUUCAGUGAAUCAUCGAGUCUUUGAACGCACAUUGCGCCCCUUGGUAUUCCAUGGGGCAUGCCUGUUCGAGCGUCAUUUGUACCUUCAAGCUCUGCUUGGUGUUGGGUGUUUGUCUCGCCUCUGCGUGUAGACUCGCCUCAAAACAAUUGGCAGCCGGCGUAUUGAUUUCGGAGCGCAGUACAUCUCGCGCUUUGCACUCAUAACGACGACGUCCAAAAGUACAUUUUUACACUCUUGACCUCGGAUCAGGUAGGGAUACCCGCUGAACUUAAGCAUAUCAAUAAGCGGAGGA